rnacentral:misc_RNA from 1 species
UGGUUCUGGCAUCGAUGAAGAACGCAGCGAAAUGCGAUAAGUAAUGUGAAUUGCAGAAUUCAGUGAAUCAUCGAAUCUUUGAACGCACAUUGCGCCCCUUGGUAUUCCGAGGGGCAUGCCUAUUCGAGCGUCAUAGUGACCACUCCCGCCUCGCGGGGUCUUGGGCGUCGCCUCCGGGCGCGCCUUAAAAGCAGUGGCGGUGCCGUCCGGCUCUCAGCGUAGUACAAGUACACACCUCUCGCUACAGGGCUUGGGCGGAUGCUGGCCAGCAACCCUCAACUUUCUUAGGUUGACCUCGGAUUAGGUAGGGAUACCCGCUGA